rnacentral:rRNA from 1 species
GACGAACGCUGGCGGCGUGCUUAACACAUGCAAGCCGAACGAUGAUGCCCAGCUUGCUGGGUGGCUUAGAGGCGAACGGGUGCGUAACACGUGAGUAACCCGCCCCUGACGCUGGGAUAAGCGCUGGAAACGACGUCUAAUACUGGUCAUGACUGCCGGCCGCAUGGUCUGGUGGUGGAAAGAUGUUUUGGUUGGGGAUGGACGCGCGGCCUAUCAGCUGGUUGGGGAGGUAUGGCUCACCAAGGCGACGACGGGUAGCCGGCCUGAGAGGUGGACCGGCCACACUGGGACGGAGACACGGCCCAGACUCCUACGGGAGGCAGCAGUGGGGAAUAUUGCACAAUGGGCGAAAGCCUGAUGCAGCAACGCCGCGUGAGGGAUGACGGCCUUCGGGUUGUAAACCUCUUUUAGUAGGGAAGAAGCGAAAGUGACGGUACCUGCAGAAAAAGCACCGGCUAUCUACGUGCCAGCCGCCGCAGUAA